rnacentral:rRNA from 1 species
AAGUACCGAAGCUAUGGAUUUAUGGUAGGAGAGCAAUGUAACAGCUUUGAAGCUGUGCCGUAAGGCGCGGUGGAGCGGUUACAAAAGAAAAUGUAGGCAUAAGUAACGAUAAAAUAGGUGAGAAACCUAUUCGCCAAUAGACUAAGGUUUCCUGAACAACGCUAAUCGGUUCAGGGUUAGUCGGACCCUAAGGUGAAUCCGAAUGGAGUAACCGAUGGAAAACAGGUUAAUAUUCCUGUACUAGCAAUAAUGCGAUGUGGGGACGGAGAUGUGUAGCUGCUAAAAGCUGACGGAAAUGCUGAGACCUAGCCUUCGGGCGAAGUUGCAGUAGUGAAUCAUCUUCCAAGAAAAGCCACUAAGCUCCAGUUAUCUGCUAUCCGUACCGCAAACCGACACAGGUAGUCAAGUAGAGUAUACUAAGGCGCUCGAGUGAUUCGUGGUUAAGGAACUAGGCAAAAUCGUCUCGUAACUUCGGGAGAAGAGACGCCAAUCUUCGGAUUGGCCGCAGUGAUUAGGCCCAAGCAACUGUUUAUCAAAAACACAUGGCUUUGCUAAAUCGAAAGAUGAUGUAUAAGGCCUGACGCCUGCCCGGUGCUGGAAGGUUAAGAGGAGAUGUUAGCUUUGCGAAGCAUUGAAUUGAAGCCCCAGUAAACGGCGGCCGUAACUAUAACGGUCCUAAGGUAGCGAAAUUCCUUGUCGGGUAAGUUCCGACCUGCACGAAUGGUGUAAUGAUUUGGGCACUGUCUCAACCACGAGCUCGGUGAAAUUGUAGUAUCGGUGAAGAUGCCGAUUACCCGCAACGGGACGAAAAGACCCCGUGCACCUUUACUAUAGCUUAACAUUGAAAUUGGUUAAUUGAUGUGUAGGAUAGGUGGGAGACUUUGAAGCGGCCUCGCUAGGGGUUGUGGAGUCAACCUUGAAAUACCACCCUUUAAUUAGUUGAUUUCUAACUUUUUUAGGACAGUGUUUGGUGGGUAGUUUGACUGGGGUGGUCGCCUCCAAAAGAGUAACGGAGGCUUCUAAAGGUACCCUCAGUACGGAUGGUAACCGUGCGUAGAGUGCAAUGGCAUAAGGGUGCUUGACUGAGAGACAUACAGGUCGAUCAGGUACGAAAGUAGAGCAUAGUGAUCCGGUGGUUUCGAAUGGAAGGGCCAUCGCUCAAAGGAUAAAAGUGAAGACGUGGGAAACAGGCUGAUCACCCGCAAGGGCGUACAUAGACCGAGGGGGUUCUGACCUCGAAUU